rnacentral:tRNA from 1 species
UCCCUAGUAGCUCAGUUGGUUAAGAAUCUGCCUGCAAUGCAGGAGACCCAGGUUCAAUCCCUGGGUCAGGAA